CCGCUGGUAAGCGGCCGUGCCCGAGGGGAGGCAGCGAUGAUCAGUAUUAUCGAGCACACACAACGCAGGCUUCAGCACGCGCGGCGGACACUGGGACACGUGAUGUGGGACCGCGUGCCGGAGGGCGACGUCUCUCGAAGCAUGUACUUACAUGAUGCGAACGUACGUGAUAUUGACGUGAGGGAGGAGCUGUUCCAUCUUCGCGCCGUCGGGAGAAAAUGAAGGACACGUGUUCUGUUCAUCGUUGGCGCUCAGAGAGCGCAGCCUCAGAACUGCGUAGCUCACCAGUGCGUCCCAGGUUACCCGGAACUCGGCUGUGUUUGCACGGCCUUUCGCCGUCUGUAGGUUUUUGCUGGGGACAUCCCACAGGAAAAUGGAAUUAUUUGGCUCAAGAGAGACCUAACCUUGCUUUCUUUUCUAAAGAAAAAAUUACCGAAUGUAUUGGGGGGGACAUUGGGGCAAUAAAAUUGUGUAGGUUUUGGGG